UCUUACGGACGAGCAGAGAAAGUGAUUUCUUGAGAUGGGAUCUGCUCCUGGUGAAGAUGCUGUGAA
rnacentral:pre_miRNA from 2 species